rnacentral:rRNA from 1 species
GGCCUAACACAUGCAAGUCGAGCGGAUGAGAAGAGCUUGCUUUUCGAUUCAGCGGCGGACGGGUGAGUAAUGCCUAGGAAUCUGCCUGGUAGUGGGGGACAACGUUUCGAAAGGAACGCUAAUACCGCAUACGUCCUGCGGGAGAAAGCAGGGGACCUUCGGGCCUUGCGCUAUCAGAUGAGCCUAGGUCGGAUUAGCUAGUUGGUGGGGUAAUGGCUCACCAAGGCGACGAUCCGUAACUGGUCUGAGAGGAUGAUCAGUCACACUGGAACUGAGACACGGUCCAGACUCCUACGGGAGGCAGCAGUGGGGAAUAUUGGACAAUGGGCGAAAGCCUGAUCCAGCCAUGCCGCGUGUGUGAAGAAGGUCUUCGGAUUGUAAAGCACUUUAAGUUGGGAGGAAGGGCAGUAAGCGAAUACCUUGCUGUUUUGACGUUACCGACAGAAUAAG